rnacentral:rRNA from 1 species
UACAGAGGUCCCAAGCGUUGUUCGGAUUCACUGGGCGUAAAGGGUGCGUAGGUGGUCGGGUAAGUCUGAGGUGAAAUCUCCGAGCUCAACUCGGAAACUGCCUUGGAUACUAUCCGGCUUGAGGGUUGGAGGGGGGACUGGAAUUCUCGGUGUAGCAGUGAAAUGCGUAGAUAUCGAGAGGAACACCAGUGGCAAAGGCGAGUCCCUGGACAACUCCUGACGCUGAGGCACGAAAGCUAGGGGAGCAAACAGG